rnacentral:tRNA from 1 species
GGCGGAGUGGAGCAGUGGUAGCUUGCCGGGUUCAUGCCCCGGAGGUCGUUGGUUCAAAUCCAACCUCCGCAACUCA